CCCACUUCAGCCCCUUCAGACCAGCUCCGUCCUCCUCCAGGUCACCUGAGGAGCCUUCAGAUGAUGAGCUGGUCGUGGCGGUAGUUGACUUAGAGAAGUAGGAGGAGAGGAGACCACUGCCUCAGAUGUACAGGCCCCUCUCUCGCUCCUGCCACCACCUCCACCUCCUCAGGGAGCUGGUGUCUCUGCUGUGCUGGACGAGCCCACAGACGAGGAGCUGCUGGAAGCCUCACAGGACCAAGACAACACGGAGCA